GUUCUUUUCGGGGUCUACCGCGUGGCUGGUGGUCAUGGUGGAUCGCGUCGGUGCUGAACUUAGCUGGCAGCCUCGGGCCUGCGGUGAUGAGGCCUUUCUUUGCCAUCUGCAGAGACGGCCAGAAGCAGAGCGGCAGGUUGAAGCUUCAGAUUGUGGAUGGAGCCCGAAAAUGAAUUAAAGAUGUUGUUUGUGGACUUUAAAAAAAAGCCUUGUGAAAACUCAUCAUGAGAUGUCGACUGUGAGAAUCUUCACGAUGACGUUUCUGUAAAUGUCUCAGCCUCAGUUUCUGAGGCUGAAAAAGGAUCUUCUAGCAGCUACACUGUGGCAGCUGCCCUGGCCCUGGCCCUGAAGGAGACUGUCACGUGCGUGUAAACACGUAAGACCUUCCAUACAGGCUCAGCUGUCUGCAGUGUGAGAGAGAACUGUGAACUGCUUUUCCUGAGGCAAGUGGAAUGGUUCCUGCUGUUAUCUGCCAGUGAUGUCAGAUGGGAUCAGCACAGCCCCGCCUCUGCUGCCAAUUGCUAAUGCCCGUAAAAUAAUCUCCCCAAAAGAAUCAUUUAAGAGUUCUUCAUCUUUAAAGGAAUUCAAGUGACUGAGAUUAUCCCAGAAAACGUUUGGCAGUUAGUGAAAUUAGGGUCCAGCUAAGAAUAUUCAGGCCUCCAGUUUGGGUGGUCUGGUAUUAUCUCACAAAUCAACAGUUCUGCAGUGAUUAUAAAUUGAAAUUAAUUAAUGUUUAUACUCUGUUAGGGGAGACUAAAGGGAAAUGUAUUUCCUAUGAGAUCAUUGUGUGUGGGGUUUAAAUUUUGAA